rnacentral:rRNA from 1 species
CAACCUGCCCUUCACCACGGAAUAAUCCAGUGAAAAUUGGUCUAAUACCGUAUGAGGUCAUACGAUGGCAUCAGAAUAUGACGAAAGGUUUGGCGGUGAAGGAUGGGGAUGCGUCUGAUUAGCUUGUUGGUGAGGUAACGGCUCACCAAGGCGACGAUCAGUAGGGGUUCUGAGAGGAAGGUCCCCCACAUUGGAACUGAGACACGGUCCAAACUCCUACGGGAGGCAGCAGUGAGGAAUAUUGGUCAAUGGGCGAGAGCCUGAACCAGCCAAGUAGCGUGCAGGAUGACGGCCCUAUGGGUUGUAAACUGCUUUUAUAUGGGGAUAAAGUGAGCUACGUGUAGUUUAUUGCAGGUACCAUAUGAAUAAGAACCGGCUGAUUCCGUGCCAGCAGCCGCGGUAAUACGGAAGGUCCAGGCGUUAUCCGGAUUUAUUGGGUUAAAGGGAGCGUAGGCCGCCCCUUAAGCGUGUUGUGAAAUGCCGCGGCUUAACCGUGGCACUGCAGCGCGAACUGGGGGGCUUGAGUGCACGCAACGCAGGCGGAAUUCGUGGUGUAGCGGUGAAAUGCUUAGAUAUCACGAAGAACUCCGAUUG